GUUCACCAGGGGACUCCGAUCCACUUCCUGUGGCAUCUUCUCAUAAGCCUCUAAAUGGACCAUCAUCCCCUCCUUUCCUGAAACAAGAGGGGAUUUGUCAUUGGAGAGCAUCUUUCAGGUUGUAGGCAUUUCCCUUCCACCGUUAUGUAUUUAAAGAAGAAAAUUGCCACUUAUUUGUACAGAGUAAAUUGGCUUAUGGGCCAUAAUAGGCUUCUCUACUCUUGUCUCGGCCAGCAAAAGGUCAUCUUCAGACUGCUGCAAUCCGCAGAACUCAGGGAUUCUUGACAGCAAGUAGAGAAAUCACAUACUCCUAAACUGCAAUUUCCUUUGCGGAUUAAGACCUCACUGGUCACAGGUGUUUGAUUUCAGCAGGUUUAUUUUCUAGCAUUGCUGGCUAUUGACUGGGAUGUAAAUUGUACCUCAUGUGCCCUCUUCAAAAUCUGCCCUCUCAGAUUGUCUGAG
rnacentral:lncRNA from 1 species